UACGUAGGGGGGCAAGCGUUGUCCGGAUUUAUUGGGCGUAAAGAGCGUGUAGGCGGCUAGGUAGGUCCGUUGUGAAAACUCGAGCUCAACCUCGAGACGCCGGUGGAAACCAUCUAGCUAGAGUCCGGAAGAGGAGAGUGGAAGUUCCAACGUGUAGCGGUGAAAUGCGUAGAGUAUGAUGGAGGAACACCAGUGGCGAAGGCGACUCUCUGGGCUGUAACUGACGCUGAGGCGCGAAAGCGUGGGGAGCAAACAGG
rnacentral:rRNA from 1 species